UUUUUGUGGACUCAGUCAGGUCAGUUAGGUCUCUUUUGUGGCUUCUGUAUUGCUGUAAUUCUGAACAGCCCAUGGCACCUGUUGAGGUCUAAACCACACAUGUGUCUUGUGUGUAUUUAGUUCUUCUCACCCUUAACUGAUCUCCCACAUUCUCAUCUUUUCCUUUUUUUUCAGUUUUCUCCCCAGGAGUUCCAGGCUGGUUGGUGGUCUUCUGGUUAUCGUUGCUUCUGUAUGUGGCAGUGGCAGCUUUGCUGAUAUUUCAAUGGAGGAGAAUGAGAGAACAUAAAGCAAGAUAUGACUCCAAAGCUUUCUUUUUACAACUCUGUUACCUGAGAAAGGAAACUGAUCUGCGCCACCCGAUCAAAGCACUGGGCCACCCCUACACUGAUGGAUUGAAGGCCAGAGGUCCACAUGAACAUCAUCAUCAUCGUCCUUUUAGAAGCCUGAAACCGCUGAGGACUGUUUGGGAUCUUUGAUGUUGGCUAGAAUGCCCAGAGGGGGCUGGGUGGUCUCGUGGCCUGGACCCCCUGCAGAUUUUGUUUUUUUUCUCCAGCCGUCUGGAGUUUUUUUUUGUUUUUUCUGUCCUCCCUGGCCAUCGGACCUAACUUUAUUCUUUGUUAUUUAGUAUUGCCUAAUCUUAUUUUAAUAUUUUGAUAGUCUUGUAAAGCACUCUGAGUUGUUUUACUCCCUUUCAGACUCCGCUAGAUCUGUAAAUCACAGUUAAUUCGGUCAGUGUGGACGCGAGUCGCACUCCUAGCAUGGACUGUCAGAUGUGUUUGCUGUGCAGUUUUUCGACCUUACUUAACGUGCCUAAAGUACGGCUGUAUGGCCAAACUUUCAGAA